rnacentral:sRNA from 1 species
AGUUUGACCCCGGAAGUGCGGGCGCUCAGGGAGCUGUCACCGUGGUCGGCGGCGGCGGCGGAGGCGGCGGCUGCACAGAGCCGGUGGUGGAGCCGCCGAGGCCACCUCGUGUAUGCAGAGACCAUGUGUGUCUGAUCUGCUGGGAUCCUAGAGCUGGAACAGGUGUCAAGGACUAGGCAGACUGGUCCUCUCUUAUUACUCCUUCUAGGCACCCCGAGCAGAAGGCAGACCGGUAUUUUGUGUUAUACAAACCGCCCCCUAAAGACAACAUUCCCGCCCUAGUGGAGGAGUACCUGGAACGCGCCACCUUCGUAGCCAAUGACCUCGACUGGCUCCUGGCCUUGCCUCACGAUAAAUUCUGGUGCCAGGUGAUCUUUGACGAGACUCUACAGAAGUGCCUGGACUCCUACCUGCGCUAUGUCCCCCGCAAAUUCGACGAGGGGGUGGCCUCAGCCCCUGAGGUUGUUGACAUGCAGAAGCGCCUCCAUCGAAGUGUUUUUCUCACCUUCCUCCGCAUGUCCACUCACAAGGAAUCCAAA